CCGGAGGGGAGCGGUGGCGGGAGGGACACGGUUGAGAGGCUGGGAGCGGGUGCUGCGGGACUGUUGUCGCGGUGGGUUUGUGUCCCCCGAACGAGCCCCACCGGUGGCCGCCGCCUCGGGGCUCUGGAGGGGCUGGUGCCUCCGCGGGUGCUGCCGCCCUGCCCGGCACAGGAGGACAGAGCAGAGAAGCGGAGGUGGGGUGGCACAGAGGGGUUUGUCUUCCAGGGCCUUCACUGAAUCUGCCUUUGUUACCGGCUUUCCUCCUCAAGCAGCAGGUCAUGGCGGGGAUGCUCCCCCCCUGCAGUCCUGGUCCAGCUGUGGGGCAGCAGCACCAGAGGGACGUGGAGCUGUUGGAAGUGGCACGGCUGCAUCUGGUGAUACAGUGGCUGUGGCGACAGGGCUGCAGCUGCCGAGGCAGAUACCCCGGAGAAAGGAACUCGGUGGUGUGAGGAUCAGUGAGAUACCACCAUUACCAUUACUACUAUUACCACCCCUAGGAUCCUGCAGCCAUCUCAAGGUCCUGGUAAUUGGUAAAAGUUCCUGAUGAUUUGAAAAAGGACAAAUGUCAUACCUGUUGUCAGAAAUGGCAAGGAGGAUCCACACAACUACCAGCUGGUCAGCCUUAACUCAGUCCCUGGGAAGAGUGGACAGCACAUCCUCCUGGAAGCUAUUUCGAAGCACAUGAAGGGCAAGAAGGACUGGGAGCAGCCAUCAGGGAUUUACCAAUGACCAACCUCAUUACCUUCUACAAUGAGGCAACAGCCUGUGUGGACAACAGGAGGGCACUUGGUGUUGUAUUGCUUGGUAAUAGCCUUGACUUAUCAAGGCCUUUGACAUGGUCUCUCAGCAGUUUACUUGUAGCCAAGUUGGUGAGAUUUGGACUGGGUAAGUGGAGUGUGAAGUGAGUGAGAAACUGGGUGGAUGGUUGGGCUGAAGGGUCAUAUCAACUAUAUGAAGUCCAACUGGCAAUUAGUUACUAUGGGAUCCUUCAGGAAAGGGGCCUCCCUCUCGGUUACAAGAUGCUGGCAACACAGCUGCUGUGAAAAUGUGACUGUUGCCACCAGAAGCUGGAGGUGGUGUGUAUGUGAAUAAGGCGGCUUGGAGGAAAUCUGGUUGAGAGGGCUCUUGACUUCAUUACCUAGUAACCUACAUUUCCUCCUCCUGUUUCGCUGGUGCUGAAAUCUAAAUGCAGAACCUGUUAUUGACAAGUGUGUGGAAUAUGUGCCUGGUCAUUGGCAUUUUUGGCAGAAGCAUCUUGGCUGCAUUAAAACAGAACUCAGAAAAGUUAAAUGAAUUUUGCUAAAGCUAUUGGGAAUUCCUCACCUUUGAGUGACAAGAGCUACUGAGCGCCUGUAGCCAGAUUGUCAUAAUAGAAAUUGCUUGGGAUCCAUACCUCCAACCACCCCUCCUGGCAUUCCUUCAAGGGCUCUUAAGGUUUACUGCAGAGAGAGUAGUCUUACACAUACAACAUUUGUUCCUCCAUCUCUGGAUUGGUAAGUGUGGCAGUAUUGCUUCAACCCUCACACUUCCCAUGGCCAUCUUUCCUUCACAUUGCAAGAUUCAGGCUUGGCCCAGGAGGAGUGAGCAGCUUCCACUUCCAUUGUCUUGCCAGCCUUCAGCCAUGGUGACUCCUCGUUGCUAACACUCAUCCCCUUCCCCAGUUGUAGGAAUAACCCGCACUGAAAUGUAAUUGUGGGGUGCUGCAGUGAACACACAGACAUGCUUUGACUUUUAUUUAGCUAUUUCUUGUGUUUUCAAUAAAAUCCAUAUUAUCAUUGAA